rnacentral:tRNA from 1 species
UCCCUUGUGGCUCAGACGGUAAAGCGUCUGCCUACAAUGCAGGAGACCCGGGUUCGAUCCCUGGGUCGGGAA